CUUUAUACACUAUAAAAUGAAUAAAUCAUAUUCUAUUUAUUACAUGCAAAGACAUAAUAUAUGGCUAGAACUCUCCAAUUCGUGUAUUAUAUGAUUUUAUGUUUCUCUGUAUUUCUUUUUGCAAAAAAUAUUGAUGCACUCCACUGCAACAAUGACAAUGAAUGUCCACCAAGUACUUGGAAGCCCUUUGUAAGGUGCAAAAUGAACCGAUGUAUAUAUUCUAGAGUGCAGCCACCUUGGGCUUGUUGAGUACGAGCCCAAACAGAGUACAAUUACGCCAUACAAGGAAGAAUAGUCCCUUACGCUAGGAAAAACUAUGCAAUAUACAUUUUACUAUAAUAUUCCACAGUAUUUUUUUGUCAAUUAAUCUAGCGUUUGAAGCCCACACAUAAAUAUGAAGAAAUGGAGGUGUUUGGAGUUUGAACUCCGACCCCUACAUAAAUUAUGCAAUGCCCCUGCAUAUUGUAAGGAUAUCCAAUAAUUGUAUAUUUUUAUUUAUUAUUGUUUUUAUAAUUUAAAGGACCUUGCAAUUAUGGCUUUGUAUUGUAUGAAGGUGAGAAAAACACAAGACAGAGGGGGGGUUGAAUUGUUCGGAGUCUGAUAGAGUUCAAAUUCAAGAACAAAGUUCAGAGUCUAAUGUAGCGGAUAAAGUAAAGAUAGAGAGAGAAGACAAAGACACAAAUCAAUUAUACAGGUUCCUUCCACAAUCCGGAAGUAGUCUUGUCUCCCUUGCACUUCCAAGGAGAGUUCACUAAAAUCAAUAUCUGAUUAAAAAUGCUCAAGAACACAAGCAAGAUACUUCCAAAUACUGAAGCACACAAGCAAGAUAUUUCCUAUGCUUAAGCACAAAUGCAAGAGACUUCUAAACAAACACAAUUACAUAGAAAAAUGUUUGAGGUUCAACAUAUGAUAUAUAAUCAGUGGUGUUCACAAUACAAAUCGAAUAAGACUCAAUCUUCAAGUCUUCACUCCUUUAUAUAGAGGUGUGAGAGAUACGUUGAUGAUUGCCAGCACAUCAAAAAGAGUCGUUGUUGAAGCUUGAUCAUCACCAAUGAUCUGUUGCUUAAUUUAGUUAUUGUCCUUGGAGGGAAUAAUUUGAAACUCAUUCCUUGUUUGGAGAAUAACCAGCAUAGACACAACUGUAGCAGUACUAUUGCAACCAAGGUAGUGGAGUAGUGGUUGUACAAUUGUAUUAUGUCCUUUUCCUGCGCUCUUCAGAGGAUAAGCAUCAAAUGCCUUAUAAUUCAUCUAAAAUAGUCGUUGCUCUAGGCUUCUAUUCCUUCUGCAA